UCCACUUUGUUUUCACCCCUGGGCGAAACCUCCUGUUGACCCAUCAGAAAACUUCUUUUGUAUCAAGGUCCUUCCACAUCUAGUCUUACUAUUUUUCAUUUGAUCCCCUACAACCCUCCUGUGCGACAACGCAUCUUGCGUCCUCCUCCCUCGUCGGUACGCUGCCUCCACUGCCGAGAGAUCGAGACGGCGCUCGCCGGCUCACGUCUUCCCCAACCCCACCGCCGUCGUGCCCCCACAUCCCCUCUGUCCACAAAUCCCACACCUCCCCGCACGGCGUCGUGUUCCUCCUCCUCCCAAUCUCCACCGCCUCUAAUCGGGGGUUCGUGGCCGUCCAAAUCCGGGCGUCGCACCAACGAGGACAGAUGGAUGGGGACUCACCAGCCAUGAAGUAGAAGAGGCCUGCGGUGGAGAGAGGCAACAACCCGCUGCGCUCUCCCCAAUCUAGUCCCCUGGAGGGCAUGUGCGUUGAGCCGGCGAGGAGCGGGCUGCGGCGGCGGGAGACGCGCGCGGAGGAGGAGAUUGGGAGGGCGGCGGGCCGCGGGAGACGGCGCGGCCGGCGGCCUGCUCAGCGAUUUUUUUUUUUUAGAAUUUGUGAUUGAAGAUCUGAGAUGUGUUUUAUUUGUGUGUGAUGUAUUCAUGUGAUGUAUUUGUGAUGAUUUUUUACAACUUGUGAUGUAAGUUUAUAGAAUUUGUGAUGUAUUUGGAGAUGAUCGAUUUGAGGAUUUGGAUGUAUCUUUUGUUAUGUGAUCUGUUGGAUUUGUGAUCUGUGAUGAUUUAUUUGGGAUGAUUUGGGGAUGGAGUGAAAUCAAUAUUCAAUGUUAAAAACAAUAAAAAAAAGUAACAAUUGGUCAUGGCCUGGCUACAUCUUUAGUUCCGGUUGGUGUCACGCCCUGAAGUUUUCCCCUUCUUUCUUGCUUUAAAAUUUGUUGAAUAAAUCCUUCGAAGAAAUUGUUUAAAUUAACCUAGAGCAAAUUCCUUAAUUAAUAAAUACAAUCAAUAAUUGGAAAUGGCAUUGUGGGAUUUUUCUUGGGUUCCACAUGUCACAAUGUCACAAUACAUUAACAGGAUAUUUAGUGAAAUUUUCAGAGCCCCAUAAAUAUUUUUAAACAAAUUAAAAUCCAUAAACCGCAAUAUUUAAAUGUCGUAGGCUCUCCGAACCUUCUGAGGGAUGAAAUAAAUAGUUCAAGUCAUUAAACAAACAAAAUGAAACAUCCGACGUCUCGAGAGAAGAAUAUUGGAGACAUUGUUGGGCCUUUGACCUUCCAAUAAACUUCAGCCUGACAUGUGCUCGUCAAACCACUCGAAGGAUGUGUUACACAUUCAGGAGACUUGACAAAAAUAACUAAACAUCCGACGCCUCGAGAGAAGAAUAUUGGAGACAUUGUUUGGCCUUUGACCUGCCAAUAAACUUCAGCCUGAGAUGUGCUCGUCAAACCACUCGAAGGAUGUGUUACACAUUCAGGAGACUUGAUAAAAAUAACUAAAGAUCUACAACAUCUAAAAUAUUCUUAACUCAUACUCAUCUAAAUCUAUGUGCACUAGAUUCACACUUUCAUCUUAAGCAUGAAAAUACAUAGCAAAAUACACUUAAGAUGAAAUGAUCUAAAUCACAACUACUUCAUAAUUACAUAGGCCGACAGGCUGAAUAUAGAUAUUAGAACAACAGAAGCUUGACUACCCAAUCCUCAAGCACACCGACUAAGGGUUUACCCUCAUUAAGUUCAAGUCCUAGAAAAAGCAGUCGAUUACCCUCAUCACUCAAAA